GAUGAAGAACUUAGCGAAAUGCGAUAAGUAAUGUGAAUUGCAGAAUUCAGUGAAUCAUCGAAUCUUUGAACGCACAUUGCGCCCGCCAGCAUUCUGGCGGGCAUGCCUGUUCGAGCGUCAUUUCAACCCUCGACCUCCCCUUGGGGAGGUCGGCGUUGGGGACCGGCAGCACACCGCCGGCCCUGAAAUGGAGUGGCGGCCCGUCUGCGGCGACCUCUGCGUAGUAAUACAGCUCGCACCGGAACCCCGACGCGGCCACGCCGUAAAACACCCAACUUCUGAACGUUGACCUCGAAUCAGGUAGGACUACCCGCUGAACUUAAGCAUAUCAAUAAGCGGAGGA
rnacentral:misc_RNA from 1 species